AGUUUACAGCACUCUUGCUGCUUCAGGCCUUCUAAAAUUAGUUUGGGUUCAGGCUGCUACAGGAAGAGGAUCCAAGCUUCAGCCAGUUUAGUACCGCAUGAAUCUUUAGUUUUGGUUUCAAGAGGAGUGGGAUACUUUUUCAUGAGCCACCUCAAGAGACCUCUGUUUCAGGUGCUAUAAGUGCAAAAUACAAGGUCUUUGGAAGGAGAAGAACAAGGAUGUGGACUUCCUCUUCAACUAUAGUUUAGAAGAUAGAUUUUUAUCGUCUGUGAAGGACAUUAUACUUUUCCUUUUCUUUCAGUUGAUGUAAUCUUAUAAAAA